rnacentral:rRNA from 1 species
AACGAACGCUGGCGGCAUGCCUAACACAUGCAAGUCGAACGAGACCUUCGGGUCUAGUGGCGCACGGGUGCGUAACGCGUGGGAAUCUACCCUCAGGUUCGGAAUAACUCAGAGAAAUUUGAGCUAAUACCGGAUGAUGACGUAAGUCCAAAGAUUUAUCGCCUGAGGAUGAGCCCGCUUAGGAUUAGGUAGUUGGUGAGGUAAAGGCUCACCAAGCCGACGAUCCUUAGCUGGUCUGAGAGGAUGAUCAGCCACACUGGGACUGAGACACGGCCCAGACUCCUACGGGAAGCAGCAGUGGGGAAUAUUGGACAAUGGGCGAAAGCCUGAUCCAGCAAUGCCGCGUGAGUGAUGAAGGCCUUAGGGUUGUAAAGCUCUUUUACCCGGGAUGAUAAUGACAGUACCGGGAGAAUAAGCUCCGGCUAACUCCGUG